rnacentral:rRNA from 1 species
UACGUAGGGGCCUAGCGUUGUCCGGAUUUAUUGGGCGUAAAGAGCUCGUAGGCGGUUCGGCAAGUCGGAUGUGAAAUCUCCACGCUUAACGUGGAGGGGCCAUUCGAAACUGCCGUGACUCGAGUCCGGUAGGGGAGUGUGGAAUUCCCGGUGUAGCGGUGAAAUGCGUAGAUAUCUGGAGGAACACCGGUGGCGAAGGCGGGUCUCUGGGCAGUAACUGACGCUGAGGAGCGAAAGCGUGGGGAGCGAACAGG